UGAAAGAAGAUGGUUUGAUUCUUUAAACCAUAACGUAACAAAAUUAAAAAUUUAUUUUCCUACAUUUCUCUAUCCAAUAGUCAACUUGGGCACUGCAACAUUUGUGAGGCUUUUGUUUGUUGUCCUGAUUUUGAUCAUCAUAGUUAUGGGAGUUUUCUGUCUGUACAGAAAGAAUAAAUUACUUCAGCGGGGAACUACGAACAAAGAAGUCUGCAGUAAUGUGGAGCAAGAGGUGCAGAUGGAGAACAUCUAUGAUGAGCAUGCACCUGAACCUCUGGAUGCAUGCGACUUGGUCUAGG
rnacentral:lncRNA from 1 species